rnacentral:lncRNA from 1 species
CAAAAACUCGCAUGUAGUAGCUACAUACUCGGUUCAAAGUUUUCCGCUUUUGUUUGGUCUGCUGAUGCCUUAAAUCUAAUAUUAAAUCUAAUAGCAGACAGAGACAAUUCUAGAAUUGGCAUCCAAAUUAUGAUGGUAGACAAGCACUGAUCCAUCCAUCUUUGUCCAUGACUUUGCUCUAUUUAUGAGGCAUCACCAAUUUUAGUGCCAUCAAAAUGUCAGAAUAGAGUUGUUGAUG